rnacentral:rRNA from 1 species
UACGUAGGUGGAGAGCGUUGUCCGGAUUUACUGGGCGUAAAGGGAGCGUAGGCGGACUUUUAAGUGAGAUGUGAAAUACCCGGGCUUAACUUGGGUGCUGCAUUUCAAACUGGAAGUCUAGAGUGCAGGAGAGGAGAAUGGAAUUCCUAGUGUAGCGGUGAAAUGCGUAGAGAUUAGGAAGAACACCAGUGGCGAAGGCGAUUCUCUGGACUGUAACUGACGCUGAGGCUCGAAAGCGUGGGGAGCAAACAGGAUUAGAUACCCCGGUAGUCCCU